rnacentral:rRNA from 1 species
GAUGAACGCUGGCGGCGUGCUUAACACAUGCAAGUCGAACGGUGAAGCAGGAGCUUGCUCUUGUGGAUCAGUGGCGAACGGGUGAGUAACACGUGAGCAACCUGCCCCUGACUCUGGGAUAAGCGCUGGAAACGGCGUCUAAUACUGGAUAUGUGAUGUGACCGCAUGGUCUGCAUCUGGAAAGAAUUUCGGUUGGGGAUGGGCUCGCGGCCUAUCAGCUUGUUGGUGAGGUAAUGGCUCACCAAGGCGUCGACGGGUAGCCGGCCUGAGAGGGUGACCGGCCAGACUGGGACUGAGACACGGCCCAGACUCCUACGGGAGGCAGCAGUGGGGAAUAUUGCACAAUGGGCGGAAGCCUGAUGCGGCAACGCCGCGUGAGGGAUGACGGCCUUCGGGUUGUAAACCUCUUUUAGCAGGGAAGAAGCGAAAGUGACGGUACCUGCAGAAAAAGCACCGGCUAACCACGUGCCAGCCGCCGCGGUAA